AGCAGUCCCGCGGUAACACGAAGGGGGCUAGCGUUGUUCGGAUUUACUGGGCGUAAAGCGCACGUAGGCGGACUUUUAAGUCAGGGGUGAAAUCCCGGGGCUCAACCCCGGAACUGCCUUUGAUACUGGAAGUCUUGAGUAUGGUAGAGGUGAGUGGAAUUCCGAGUGUAGAGGUGAAAUUCGUAGAUAUUCGGAGGAACACCAGUGGCGAAGGCGGCUCACUGGACCAUUACUGACGCUGAGGUGCGAAAGCGUGGGGAGCAAACAGGAUUAGAUACCCGUGUAGUCCCUGUCUCUUAUACA
rnacentral:rRNA from 1 species